AGCUCCAAUAGCGUAUAUUAAAGUUGCUGCAGUUAAAAAGCUCGUAGUUGGAUUUGUGGCGUGGUCGUCCGGCGGGGCUCCUUCAUUGGGGCCGUUUGUCUGGUUUUUCGACCGCACCAUUCUCGGGUAGUGUGUCGCUGGCAUUAGGUUGUCGGCUUCUUCACGCCCGUCGUUUACUGUGAAAAAAUUAGAGUGUUCAAAGCAGGCUUAGGCCGUUGGAUACAUUAGCAUGGAAUAAUGAGAUAGGGCCACGGCGGUCUAUUUUGUUGGUUUGCACGUUGUGGUAAUGAUUAACAGGAACGGUUGGGGGUAUUCGUAUUCAAUUGUCAGAGGUGAAAUUCUUGGAUUUGUGGAAGACGAACUACUGCGAAAGCAUUUACCAAGGAUGUUUUCAUUAAUC
rnacentral:rRNA from 1 species